UGGGGAAUUUUGGACAAUGGGGGAAACCCUGAUCCAGCCAUCCCGCGUGUGCGAUGAAGGCCUUCGGGUUGUAAAGCACUUUUGGCAGGAAAGAAACGUCGCGGGUUAAUACCCCGCGAAACUGACGGUACCUGCAGAAUAAGCACCGGCUAACUACGUGCCAGCAGCCGCGGUAAUACGUAGGGUGCAAGCGUUAAUCGGAAUUACUGGGCGUAAAGCGUGCGCAGGCGGUUCGGAAAGAAAGAUGUGAAAUCCCAGAGCUUAACUUUGGAACUGCAUUUUUAACUACCGGGCUAGAGUGUGUCAGAGGGAGGUGGAAUUCCGCGUGUAGCAGUGAAAUGCGUAGAUAUGCGGAGGAACACCGAUGGCGAAGGCAGCCUCCUGGGAUAACACUGACGCUCAUGCACGAAAGCGUGGGGAGCAAACAGGAUUAGAUACCCUGGUAGUCCACGCCCUAAACGAUGUCAACUAGCUGUUGGGGCCUUCGGGCCUUGGUAGCGCAGCUAACGCGUGAAGUUGACCGCCUGGGGAGUACGGUCGCAAGAUUAAAACUCAAAGGAAUUGGACGGGGUC
rnacentral:rRNA from 1 species